ACAAGCAGCGGAGCGUGUGGUUUAAUUCGAUGCUACACGAAGAACCUUACCAGGGUUUGACAUGUUGGUGGUAGGAAUUCGAAAGAUGGCCGACCCUUCGGGAGCCUUCACAGGUGCUGCAUGGCUGUCGUCAGCUCGUGUCGUGAGAUGUUCGGUUAAGUCCGCUAACGAGCGCAACCCUCGCUGUGUGUUACAAGUGUCACACGGGACUGCCGGUAUCAAGCCGGAGGAAGGUGGGACGACGUCAAGUCAGCAUGGCCUUUAUGUCCUGGGCUACACACACGCUACAAUGGUCGGCACAGUAGGUAGCCAAGCCGCGAGGCGGAGCCAAUCCUUAAAGUCGGCCUCAGUUCAGAUUGUAGGCUGCAACCCGCCUGCAUGAAGAUGGAGUUGCUAGUAACCGCAGGUCAGCAAUACUGCGGUGAAUACGUUCCCGGGUCUU
rnacentral:rRNA from 1 species